CACAGUGAAUCCUUGGAUUUGUCUGAGCCUGUUGCAUCUGGGAGAGCUUUUCCAACACCAGCAGCCUGUCUUCUUUCCUGUCUCUGCCCCGCCGCCCCAGAAGGAAAAGCAGACGGGGAGCGUGGAGAGUCGGAGAGCAGGUGCCGUGGGAAAUUAGCUGACCGUCACCCAGAUGGAUGACUAUGAAAGUGCUUCGGACACCGUGUCAGCCUACGGGCCUCGCCGCCUGUAGUUAAGGAUAAAGAAUGUCUCCGGGAGUGAGAGCUGAUGCGUCCUGCAGGCUGUGAGAACUCAGGAUCCUGGCCCCAAUAGUGGAAGUGCAUUUCAAAGGAAUGGUUUCAGGGAGCCCAGGCCUCUUUUGUUCCUGCUCCCUGCCCUUUGUUGCAAAAACUCCAACAUAUCCUAGCUCAGCGCCUUGAGCAGUUUCUCAGGGCUACCUGCGAUCUGUCUCCUGUGCUGAAGUCCUCAUUUUGUCCCAAAUAAAACAUAACUCUCAACUUUCA